UCCGUAGGGUGCAAGCGUUAAUCGGAAUUACUGGGCGUAAAGCGUGCGCAGGCGGUUUUGUAAGUCUGUCGUGAAAGCCCCGGGCUCAACCUGGGAAUUGCGAUGGAGACUGCAAGGCUUGAAUCUGGCAGAGGGGGGUAGAAUUCCACGUGUAGCAGUGAAAUGCGUAGAGAUGUGGAGGAACACCGAUGGCGAAGGCAGCCCCCUGGGUCAAGAUUGACGCUCAUGCACGAAAGCGUGGGGAGCAAACAGG
rnacentral:rRNA from 1 species